GAUGAACGCUGGCGGCGUGCCUAAUACAUGCAAGUCGAGCGAACAGACGAGGAGCUUGCUCCUCUGACGUUAGCGGCGGACGGGUGAGUAACACGUGGAUAACCUACCUAUAAGACUGGGAUAACUUCGGGAAACCGGAGCUAAUACCGGAUAAUAUAUUGAACCGCAUGGUUCAAUAGUGAAAGACGGUUUUGCUGUCACUUAUAGAUGGAUCCGCGCCGCAUUAGCUAGUUGGUAAGGUAACGGCUUACCAAGGCAACGAUGCGUAGCCGACCUGAGAGGGUGAUCGGCCACACUGGAACUGAGACACGGUCCAGACUCCUACGGGAGGCAGCAGUAGGGAAUCUUCCGCAAAGGGCGAAAGCUUGACGGAGCAAAGCCGCGUGAGUGAUGAAGGUCUUCGGAUCGUAAAACUCUGUUAUUAGGGAAGAACAAAUGUGUAAGUAACUAUGCACGUCUUGACGGUACCUAAUCAGAAAGCCACGGCUAACUACGUG
rnacentral:rRNA from 1 species